rnacentral:tRNA from 1 species
GUUUUAAUAGUUUAAAUAAAACAUUGAUCUUGUAAAUCAAAAUUGAAUAAGUUCUUAAAACU